rnacentral:lncRNA from 1 species
AACAAACGGGAAUUUCCCAUAUCCAUUUUUUACUGACAAUUUCCACCUCAAAUAUAUUAAAUAGUACAUAGCUUUCGGUCCAUUCAAUCAUUUUAUAAUAGACAAUCAAUGUAGAGAAUACGGCACCAAAAAUGUCCAGCCCCUACACUUUAAUUAAAAUGCAUUUUACACUUAUUCUAUGUUUUUUAGCAAAAAAAAAGGUCCCAAAACAUUUUUCUUAUUUCUUCGUCCCCCUUUCCAAAUUCCUGGAUCCGCCCCC